rnacentral:rRNA from 1 species
GGUUAAGCGACUAAGCGUACACGGUGGAUGCCCUGGCAGUCAGAGGCGAUGAAGGACGUGCUAAUCUGCGAAAAGCGUCGGUAAGGUGAUAUGAACCGUUACAGCCGGCGAUGUCCGAAUGGGGAAACCCAGUGCAAUUCGUUGCACUAUCGUUUGAUGAAUACAUAGUCAAACGAGGCGAACCGGGGGAACUGAAACAUCUAAGUACCCCGAGGAAAAGAAAUCAACCGAGAUUCCCCCAGUAGCGGCGAGCGAACGGGGAGCAGCCCGGAGUCUGAAUCAGCUUGUGUGUUAGUGGAAGCGUCUGGAAAGUCGCAGGGUACAGGGUGAUACUCCCGUACACUAAAACACACAGGUUGUGAACUCGAAGAGUAGGGCGGGACACGUGGUAUCCUGUCUGAAUAUGGGGGGACCAUCCUCCAAGGCUAAAUACU